GAGGCGAUUGAGGAGAGCAGCAGAACGCGAGGCCUAGCUUGUAGAGACGGAGGGCAGAGGAACAGGAGCGCAUCGGAAGCGUGAACGCGUUGCAUAGAAAAGAGGGUCGUGGUGGUGGAGUCAGUCGUUCUGGCGCAAUAUACUAUGAUGAUCAUUCCCUCCUCGAGUCGAACGAACUAGAACGUUCCUGUCCCCUCGUCGGCUAGCCCAGUUCUACAAACUUCCCUACCUCCCCUACUCGAUGCCGCCUCCACGACGACCCCGACCCCGACCCCGCCGCCGCGACAGCGCCCUAGGUUUCGUCGCCAACGCCACCUGCGGCCUGGAGGUGCUGGCGAAGCACGUGCGGCAGCGGUCCGAGCCGCCGGGGCUGUUUCGCUGCGGUUUCCCUCACGAGUCCGACUACCGGUACUUUCCGGAGUGAGACAUGGUGGACUUUUCGGUGGAAGUCUUUAUGUCCGACCCUUUCGUGUGGUUCUUUAGGUGUCUGGACCUUAAUCGGUUGUUACCUCUCAAAUGGAGCGUUCUGUAGUCGAAGGUUUAGCCACGCGGAGACCAACAAGGACGACCUGCGCUGUGGCGUUCUCUUUACGGCGAACUCCUAUGGGAGUCCAUAGUUUAAGUCCAGGUUUCUCUUGACACGCUUGUUGAACUCCACGUCUUCUUCGAUGUCUACGCUUAUCUCCGGGUUCCCUCCAUAAAUUUCCUUUAUGAUCUCUUUCGAGUCCUUUUGUAAAGGAAACUACGUUUACCUAGACGACCGGAUCUUUUAUGGUCUAGUGUCGAGUGCCUAAAGUUGGAUCGAGAAGGCCCAGAGUGCCUCUUACCUUCUGUCCACAUACUUCUUUCGCCACUUGUCAACCACUUUCUAUACAGACUACUGUUAGAAGUACUAUUAUUGAACCUAAAAGUCGAGAUGGCACAUGCUUCAGUCCUCCGAUUCUCACAGUUUACGUGGGGCUUUUGACUCCUGGACGAGAAUAAUCUGAACUUAUAUUUUCCUCCUAUACUGGACAGAAGCUCUCCUUACGUUCCCACUCAAUUUAGACUUCUAAUUGGUCGUCUCCUUUAUCUCUAUACAAAGUCGUACGACUGUCAAAAACCCUCAAAGUGAUAAAAGACAAUCUUAAACAAAGGACACCGUCACGAAUCCUACGAACCAGUGUUCAAACUGAAUGAGACACCAAUACAAUUUAAACGACUUCUUUAAGUACUUGCGAACUUCGGACAUCAUAUACGUAUACAAUACAUCUCACGUGUACCCUUUCCUCUUCCGUACAUUGUUAGUCUAUAGUUCUAUAUACAUAUAAAAUUUAACAGGAAAUACAUGGUAAUUACACG
rnacentral:rRNA from 1 species